CCAGUGAAUCAUGCUAUUCUUGAAGAUUAAGCCAUGCAUGUGCCAAGUUCAAACGUUCAUAUCGUGAGACUGCGGAAGGCUCAGUAUAUCAGUGAUUAUCUGUUUGAUUGUCUAACCUAUGGAUAACCGUGGGAAAUCUAGAGCUAAUACAUGCAGUUUAUGGUCGGGCUUGCCUGGCCAAGCAUUUAUUAGUUUUAACCAAUUACUGCGCAAGCAGUAAGGUGAAUCUAGAUAACUUUGCUGAUCGCACGGCUUUGCCGGCGACGUUUCAAUUGAGUUUCUGCCCUAUCAAUUUGUUGGUAAGGUAUUGGCUUACCAAGGUUGUAACGGGUAACGGGGAAUCAGGGUUCGAUUCCGGAGAGGGAGCUUGAGAAUCGGCUACCACAUCCAAGGAAGGCAGCAGGCGCGCAAAUUACCAAAUCUAGACAGUAGGAGGUGGUGAAGAGAAGUACUAAGUGGUGGUUAUUUACUACCAGCUUGGAAUGGACGUAAUUUAAGCAAUUCGAUGAGUAACUACUGGAGGGCAAGUCCUGGUGCCAGCAGCCGCGGUAAUUCCAGCUCCAGUGGCGUGAUUUAAAGUUGCUGCGUUUAAAACGCUCGUAGUUGGAUCAAGCGGUGUCAGUUUGUAUUCUGCGGUUAGCAUUUGACUGCUUCAGUCGAUGCUUUCCGUAGAUUAAAACGCAAACUGUCACUAUUUAAUCGCAAAUAUGUUAGUUGACCUUUAAUGAGUUGAGUAUCAUAUUUUGCAGAGUUGUGCCUUGAAUAAAACAGAGUGCUCAAAGCAGGCGAACGCUUGAAUGUUGUAGCAUGGAACGAACAAACGUGUAUUCGCACAUGUCGUGCGAAGCGGAUGUGCUUCUGGUGCGUCUGCUUUGCUGACGUGUGCAUCACCCGCCAAAGUACGAUUGUUGGUUAUCGUAUUAGGUGAUGAUUAAAAGGAGCGGUUGGGGGCAUUGGUAUUUGGACGCGAGAGGUGAAAUUCAAAGACCGUCCAAGGACUAACAAAUGCGAAGGCAUCUGUCCAGACCGUAUCCAUUAAUCAAGAACGAAAGUGGGAGGUUCGAAGACGAUUAGAUACCGUCGUAGUUCCCACUGUAAACUAUGCCGACUAGGGAUCAGCUUGGUGAUAUUACAAGCACCAAGUUGGUCUCCAAGGGAAACCAUAAGUUUUUCGGUUACGGGGAGAGUAUGGUCGCAAGGCUGAAA
rnacentral:rRNA from 1 species